rnacentral:rRNA from 1 species
UGGGGGAAUAUUGGGCAAUGGGCGAAAGCCUGACCCAGCAACGCCGCGUGAGGGAAGAAGGCCUUCGGGUUGUAAACCUCUGUCCUUAGUGGCGAAGGAAGUGACGGUAGCUAAGGAGGAAGCCCCGGCUAACUACGUGCCAGCAGCCGCGGUAAUACGUAGGUGGCAAGCGUUGUCCGGAAUUACUGGGUGUAAAGGGUGCGCAGGCGGGACUGCAAGUUGGAUGUGAAAUACCGAGGCUUAACCUCGGAGCUGCAUCCAAAACUGUGGUUCUUGAGUGGAGUAGAGGUAAGCGGAAUUCCGAGUGUAGCGGUGAAAUGCGUAGAUAUUCGGAGGAACACCGGUGGCGAAGGCGGCUUACUAGGCUCUAACUGACGCUGAGGCACGAAAGCAUGGGUAGCAACAGGAUUAGAUACCCUGGUA